UACGUAGGGUGCAAGCGUUAAUCGGAAUUACUGGGCGUAAAGCGUGCGCAGGCGGCUUUGCAAGACAGAUGUGAAAUCCCCGGGCUCAACCUGGGAAGCUGCAUUUGUGACUGCAUGGCUAGAGUGCGGCAGAGGGGGAUGGAAUUCCGCGUGUAGCAGUGAAAUGCGUAGAUAUGCGGAGGAACACCGAUGGCGAAGGCAAUCCCCUGGGCCUGUACUGACGCUCAUGCACGAAAGCGUGGGGAGCAAACAGG
rnacentral:rRNA from 1 species